UUCAGAGGUGCUGUUAAUGACUAUAUGAACCAAGUGAUUGCAUUUUGCUGGACUAUAAACAUUUCCAUAUCUUGCCUUCUUCCUUCUUUCCUCCUUCCUCUCUGUCUUCCUUCUUCUUUCAACAAGGGAGCUCUCUUCUGUUGUGUAGUAAGUGCUGACAAGGAGACAUAUCCUUCCUACAAAAUGGUCUCCCAAUCACAAUCACUAUCCAGAAUCAAAAUCAACCUGCCAGACACCAGGCUCUGGGUUUCCUAUCCCUCAUGUGUGCACAGGAAUGCCUGGGGGCUCAGUUCAUGGCCACCUGGCAGAAUUUAAGGACCCACUAUUUCUAAUAGCAUUGAUGAUUAGAAUUGGAGACAUAUUAGCCGCUGGAACAAUAGUAGUAAGGUAAUAGUGUUGACAAUGUUGUAGUUGAUGUCCCAUGUUUAGAACAGGCGGCAACUUAUCUCAGGAGACGACUGCUAGAGUAGUGACAUGAUAAACAUCAAUGUUUACAGCCAUUAUCUUCAUGUGAGGCGUGAAUGAAACAGUACUGUUCAGACACUGCUGUGACCUCACUGUUCUUUUGAUUGAGACUGCAGGCUUCAUGUGUUAGUCACUGGAUUUCUUACCUGUGGGCUUGCAUGAUAUGUGUCCUGAAUUCUGUGACACUGACACUUAAUAUUUCAGGUGGUGCCACAGAUCUUUGUUGUAACUACAUUAACUGCAGUAUUGAACUGCUGUUUCUUUGAGGGGAUUUGAAGCUCAGCCUUUCGAGAUUAGUGUUGCCUCUUUCAGGACUAGAAGAAAAGCCUAGAAAAUGGAGGCUGAUGAAUUGAAUAGUGUGCCAGCUCCAAAAACUAGCUCAGGAAUGCAACUUCUUGCACCCAGAAAUUUAUGGGUACUGAAGUUGAGGGGAUCAGCCUGUAUACCUUAAUUUUUUAACAAUGGUGGAUGUAGGUUCAAAAACUGCCAGCUCAAACCCCUCAGACAGCAGCUUAGUCAUUCUUUUUUCUGCCCAUUUUUUUGCUGCAGAUUGAGUGGCUGCCUCUCCCGUGCUUUACUAGAUGUCUCUUGAAAUCCUGCUUGAUAAAAGUUCUACCUUAUCUACCUCCACCUUGUCAGUCAUAGCAGCAUACUGCCUCAGUGAGAUGUGUGUUGGUGUUGAAGGUAAAUGAGAGGUAGACCUUAAAAAGCCAAGGUUGAUGAGAGAGUAGCUGAUGAGUUGGUAGUGAAAAGAGACCCAGAAAGGGCUUGCCAAACUUAAAGCAAAACCUGUAAAUUUUACCUUAAAUCAUGCCUUCUUCACACCUCUUUAAAUCUUGAUUUAGUGGUCCCUCUAUGGUUUAUUAGUGUAGGUGUAAGUGAAGAUAUAGCGGUGUUUUUUGAUGUAGGAAUGUUUUGUGCAUACUGUUGAAAUGUGUAGCCUAAAUAAACCCUUGAAAAUAAUGUCUGUUUGACUUAUACAUCGUCAUUCAGGCAUGUGCUGCUCAUUGGCCCAUGUUUAUGACAGAUUACUUUUUAUAAGGUGAAUGCAUCUGUGUUAACUUAUUUUACGUAGAUAUCAUCACAGGCAGGUGGCAGAUAAUAACAUUUUCAUUUAAAAGCUAGAUUUGAUGUGAAGGAGCAGUCUAGACAUGAUGGUUAUAUGUCAUUACAAAGUAUUCUCUUUUAAGGAGCUCUAAUGGAGAUAGAUUCUUCUACAUUGACAACACAGUGUACUAAAAGGAGAUAAAGUUUACUUACAAAGUUAAAUAUUUACCUCCAGAAUAGCUGCCCUACUCACAGCUUUGCCUUGCAAUGUUCUCACUAAGCAAUAAUAUUGAUGCUUAUAUAAAGAAAUAAAGUUACCAAAACACUUAUUUAUGUGCCUAAUUACCACAGGGGUCAGCUGGAUUAAACUAGAUGUCUAAUGUCUCUGUUUAGCUUGAAGCAUUUAAGUUGUAGUAAUGGAAUUCCAGUUUGUCUGGAAGAAUCAGGUAACUAGACUAGGCCACUGCAAAGCCAUUCCCUGUUGAAAGUGUGCAGGCAGACACAAUACCCUGUUCAUGUCAAAGAAUUAUGUACUUAGUAGUACUAAGUGAGUCUUGACAGAUCAUAGAGUUCUGGCUUAAUCUGAAGUAGGUGUACUUAAAUAAAAAUUUCCAACACAUGAAGAACUUGCUAACCACUUUGACUAGGUGUGUUGCUCCACAAACAUUCAGAAGGCUAGAUGCUUCAGUGUAUGAAAAAGAGGAACACUUACUCAACUUAAAAUUUGUUACAUAUUUAAUGGUAGUAUGCAGUAUCAAAAAUUUUAGUUACAUAUGUUAAACAUUAUUCUUUGCUUUAUACUGAAGUAAAAAUUCGGUUUUUACAAGAUAAUGUUUUAAAAUUGUCAAAAAGAAAUGAAUUUGCUUGAAGGUUCUUGUUUGCUAUGAGUCUCUGUUUAAGACAGAGACAUGAAUUCUUACAUUAAUUCCUUAGUGUCUGUUUCAAGUAAUCCUUACUGUUGCCAUAAGGUAGUGUUUUUAGUCUUCAUGAUCAGAAGUUUGGGAGUUUUUCUGCUGGCUUUCACUUACUAAGAAUAUCAAUGGUCUCGUUUUACACACUUGCUAUUUUAAAUCUUAAAUUUUAAAUAUAAACUUUUUACAAUAAUAUAUUUGAUCACUUAGUGGAGAAUUGAUUGUUGAUAUUUAUAAUGGCAGUAUUUCAAACAGAAGUUCUCUGACCCUUGUUAGGUUCUUUCAUGGCUUGUGUAUGUUCUCAUUGCCUAUCAAGCAGUUAGAAUAGUGAAUUUACAACAAAAGAUCAAGUGCUUAAAUUUUUGAGAAAGUACAGAUUUUCUCAGCAAUUUAUUUUAAUUCUCUACACACAUCAUUAUAUUAUUAGUGACUGUAUCUCCUUUUUCUUUCCACAGGAUUUUUCUUGUUUACUGCAGGAUGGAAAAAAAAAUUAAUAAAUAAACUUUCAUUGUACUGUUUUCCUCACACAUUUGCAAGAUUUAGGCCAUAUUCCAUAUUUCAGAUGUUUUUUGGCCAGUGAGCUAGGUGGAGUAAAGACCCUUAUCCAGACAUGUUUGUAAGCAUGGGUUUGUUAUUUACAAGGUUUUUCCUCAGGAAUAUAUAGAAUGGCCUGCAUUGAAAGGGAUGCUAAAGAUGACCUACUUGCAGCCAUCCCAUCAUGGUCAGGGAUGCCUUCCAGUACCCCAGGUGGGGUCUCACCAGAGUGAAGCAGAGUGACAGAAUUCCCUGCCUGGACACACUGUUCAUCUCUCCCUAAGGGUACAUAACUUUGACAUGUAUUUGGCAGUAGUAACUUUCAGACAUAUGUAAGAAUCAAAGUGCAGAAAUACAGAGAAAGGUUUUGGGGACAAAUGGAGCUUGCAUUGAUGAGACAUUAGUAGAAGAUCAUAUAUUUAGAACAAUGUUGGAAAAACUGCUGACUGCCUGAACUGAAAUGUUUCUGAGUUCAGUCUUGUAGAAGUAUCAGUCUUAGUUCUGGCUCUGAAAAAUAUUCAAGCUGAGGAGAAAAUGACCUGUCUGUUUAUUUCAUAUUUGAAACCACUCAGUUAUGAAAACAUUGUAAGGCAUCUUACAAUGCUGCUUUCUAUUUCAUAUAUUUUAUUGGAAAACUAAAUGAUACUUGAUCUCUGUUCCUCUAAAACAAGUAAGUUGCAUGUAUCAAUCUCCCUGAACCUUGAAGUAACUACAGAUGGGAGGACAUUACAUAAAAGCAUUUGAUAAAUUGCUCUUUCUUCUCAUUUGUUCUCAACUGAGCAUUCCUUUACUAUCUUCAAAUUUAGAAAAAGGAUAGAAACAUCUAUCUGAAUUAUGCUGUAUUAAGUGCUAAAAGUAUGCCCUAGUCAAGGAUUCAUAUAAAGUUCCCUGAGUACAGAGUUCUUCAAACACCUUUUUAAGAUUCUCUUCAUCUCAAACACUACCUUUUCUCCUUGCAUACAGUUCUUUAUAUUUUAUAACUGCAGUCACAAAAAUUGGUGGAAAUUUCUAAUAUUACAAUUCUAGAUAUAUACAUUGACUCCUUACAGACUCUUCUCUGAAAGUUCAUCUUUCCAAUGACAUGUGCAAAAAUGUUUUUUCUGUAGUAGCAAGGCAUGUACUCAAGUAAAUAUCAGUAUUAGGUUGCAUGGAAAGGAGUUUGCCUAAGGAGGAUUUUCAGCUUAGUAAGGGCAUGUUUAACCAAACCUUUGUGGCUGUAGAUGAAAGAGGAGUUAUCUGAAAAGAAUAAUUCCAACGAAACUUGUGAGGGGAGAGAAGGUAUCACAUUUAUAUUGUAGUGGCUUCAUAGUUCUCAAAUCUAUUUUGAAUUUCUCUUCCAUGGUCUAUCCAGUUUUCCAUUACCUUUUGUCCUGGAUCUGCCCAUGACAGAGUUAAUUUUUUGCAGUAGGUUUGGAGUCUUGUUGGAACAGCUACAUUUGGGACUUCCAUUCCUAAACCAUGACAGUGUUUUUAAAAACAGUCUCAUAAUUUCACCCUCAGGGUAAAAUUCUUCCUUUAUUUUGCUUUCAUGAAUGUUGAUAGCAGAACAAUUAUUAUUUGUGUGUACUUUAGCUGCUAAGAUAUAACUCAAAACCAAACCAUCAGGUAGAUUUUAUAGAACAUUUGCUUUAUUUGUUUUAUUAUAUUUGUAACUUUCAGUCAGUAUGUUUACAUUAUUAAAUAACUUACAACAUCCAAGUACAUAUCUUUGCCAAUCUUCAUUAAAAUUGUUGUUCCAGCAAAGAAUAAAAUUACUCUGAUUUGAAAAGAUGCAUUGAUGCAUUUUCCAUAUAAGAAUUAAAUUUUUAUCUUUCAAGUUGUUUACUAAAUUUUUAUUGCAAGAUAUUCUUAUUUGUGUGGAUCUCUCUAGCCCUUUGUUAUUUAGCAUAUCUGCUUUAGUGUUUUUUGUUUGUUUGUGGUUUUGUGCCCUUUUUUUCUGUGUGUGUGGGUUUUUUGUUGUUGUUUUGUUUUGUUUCUAUAUAGUUGGCAUAAUCUUGUCAUUCUUUUUUGAGAUUUUAUAAUUCUCUUUAAGAAAAUUUAAGUGCUAAUUGCUCCAGUCCAAUAAUUAAACAAAUAUUUUUUAUUCCUUUCACAAUAAAGCACAGUCCCUAGGAAUAACUGAACUUCGUAUCACUGUGAUAUCAAAUCAUCCUCAUUCAUAAAUACUUACAAGAGAAAUAUCUACUUCUGUUUUAAGUCUUCCCUUUCUGUUUGAUAAAUAACAAGUUUCUUCUUGUAUACUCUAAACUCCUUCUUCUCCAUAUCUAGCUAUAGAGGUUUAGCUGAAAUCCUUACCUUAGCAACUUCCUUUAUUUCAGAACCCAUCUGCACCUGUUGCCAUUUGAUGCUAUAUUUCCUAUUGCUUACAUAUUUCCCUUUAAUUAUAUUGCAUUUAAAUUAAUUAUACAAUAGUCUUUUAAAUUCCUGAUUCAAUUCACAGCUGACCUAAAAUGGCUUAUCAGCAAAGUUUAUUGAUUUAAUAUUGAGCGGAGCUGGAAUUCAACACACCUUGUAUGUGUUUCAGUAGGCACUUUUCCUUUAUUUUGGUCUCUUAAGAAUUCAGGAAAGGGAAUUACAAUUUCAGAAUUGAAUCUAUUUUUGAAGAAGGAAUUGAUGGAAUGAUUAAGCAGCUAAGACAUAAAAAAAUAAUUCGAACAGCUGGGGAAAUUCUUCCCAGGAAUGCAUGUGGCAGAGAUCUUCUUUUUCUUUAAUGCACACACACAUUGAUCUAACUAGUAAGGCUGAGAGAAAAAUUGAAAAUUGUCAUUACACAGUAUUUAAAUACUUAAGAGAUGAAAUAAAGUCAAGGUGGAAAUUAAAUAACUAACCAAACUGAUGACCUCUAUAUCUUAGUUAAUGGAAUUAAAAGGUGAUUAAGAAAGUUAUAUUACGGUUUAAUGAAUUUGAAACGAAACAGUAAUACAGAAGAAUACUCUCCAGAACAGAGUUUUCCCAUAUUAAACUGGAGUCUUUGAACUGCAAAUGUCUAAAUGAGUGAAAAAACAAAGAUCAAAAAUAGAUGGAUUCAAAAUGAAAGCAGCAGAAACAAUCUGUCAUCCUGCUUGAAGGACUAGGGAAAAUAGGAAGAGAAAGUUAACAAAUACCUCUUUAAAGAAAAUUUUAUUAAAUUUUUUUUCAUGUCUGCAUUCUCUGUUCUUGCAAAGAACAGUGAGCAGAGCACCUGCUGGCACCCACAAAGAAAUAAUAAAGUUUCUUAAUUACAGAAAUACAGAUAAGCUGUUACAGCUGGCUACACUGAAUAAGUCUGAUUUAUAAUUCAGAUAAGUACUGCCAAUCCUUGAUUGCAGUAUGAAGAUACAAAGGAAGCAGAAUCCAUAGAAACUGAGAGGAAGCUUUGGGAUUUUAAAAUUGAGUUCUUGUUUUAUGCUGCUAGGCUUGAAAUUGAUGCACAUGAAAUCAGACUGUUUCUUUUAUAGUACAGAAAGAUUAUCACUCUUGAUUUACACAAGAGAGGAAUAGACAAGAUGAUUGCAAAAUAAAGGAGGAUUGAUAUUCUGAAUGUCCUAACACAGCCUUUCCGAAGUCCUCUCAAGAACAAAGAGUACACAAGGCCUAUUCUCAGGGUUACUUCUGUUUUAAUGGUAAUAGCCGUGCAGGACACAACAGUUUCUUGCUUCUCUCACCUGAUUUAAUAUUAAAUACUUUUAAUACUAUGAUUACUCUUUCCUAAAUACCUCUCCCUUUUUGGAGGUGCAGGGUACCUACUUGGCAUAUAUUUCAGUAGGCUCUCGGGCUCCUAUGGAGUAUGUGCAUACAUGCAUACACCUGCACGUGCACACAGACAGAGAAGAGACAAAGUCUCUUUCACAAGAGAAUUUAAGCACAUCCAUCUCUUCAGCAUUUCCAGGUAGCAGUAUUAAGGAUUUUGGUGGUUGGUGUGCUGGUUUCCGUGAACACAUUUAUGAAUGUCUGUAUCUCUCAAAUUUCCAUGGGGAAUUCAGUUACUUGAACUCAACUUAGUGAAUUUUACGUCUGAGCAAGAAAUCUGUCUUGAAGGUAUCACAGUAGAAGGUAUCACAUUUAAUCCUUUCUUAGCGUUUGAUCCAAGACCUUCACAAAUUCAUACAGUGGCAAUUAUCAAGCUGUUUUGGGAGUCUCUCAGCCCAGCUCUUUUAUGCUCACAAGCUGUCUCACUGGGUAGUGGUACCAUUUUCAGGUAUAGGUAUUUCCAUUUCCAAUUAUAUUUAAGUUUUCGAUAUAAGAAUAAUGCAACUUGAUUAGGUAUCUUUGCCCUACAAUUAAGUGUGGAGUAAAUAGUCUAUAAAUAUGUGGUAUUGCUCUUUCACUUGAGUAAUCUUUUGGCAGGGAGUUAAUGGAAAGAGCAUCUUUCUCUGUGGUAGCUGUGGCAGUUCUACUAUGGGUUAAAUAGCUGGAAAUGUGAUCACAUAGAUGUCUCUCAGCAAAUUCUUUUGAGCUCUGUCCUGGCAUGGAGCUCUGUCCUGGCAUGGAGCUCUGUCCUGGCAUGGAACAUGCAUUUCUAUGCUUUAUACCUUAUCAUACCUUAAAUCUCUCCAGGAGACAGGUAAUAUAAUGCUCAUUAUAUUCUUCUGUUUUCUAUGUUCACAGGUAAAUUGCUGAACGUCUCCUUGAUUUCCUUACAGAAGUAGAACAGAUUAAUUAUAUACAAAGAGUUUUAAAAUGAGAAGUCCAUUCUGUGGUGGCUGAUAAAUUGUUGUACCUCUUGGGCUGGUGUAAAAUUUUCAAGCAUUAUGAACCUGUGGUAAUUCUUGUGUUAAAGGAAAAAUAAGAAAGUAAGGGGACAGAGAAUCAAGCAAGUGAAAGCUAGUGAAACUGCCUGCCACUCAAAACUUCACUUGCAUCACUACAAUUUUACUAAGAACUCCCAAGUUCAAACAGAUAAGAAGAUUGAAAGGAUCAAAGAGCUGGACAACAUUUGGAAAAGCUUUUAGCAGUUUGCAUCUCUUGUUGUGCAGAAGGCCAUGAAGAAAAAGGGAUCACUUUAUUUACAAUGAAUUUCAACAUUUAGAGGAACUAAAAAGCAUGUGUAGACAUGACCAAAAAGCGUGUGUAGACAUGACCAUUGCAGUCAGGAUACAACAAAGCUGUGUUCUUUCAUUGUAUGGGAAAGCAGCUAAAAAGCCCUAAGAAUGCCUUGGAAAACACACUCCUCCAAAAUACAUAUUCCGUAUUGGCAAGUGUAAUAUACCCCAGUCCCACAGAUCACUGAGUCAUCUCUACAUCAUCUCUGAGCUAUUUAUUAUACUGAUUCUAAAACACACAUGAUAUGCUAGAGUCAGAGUUUCUUCAUGUCAGGUAAUGCUUUGUGCAUUGCCUUCUAAUUAAGCAGAACACUAAAUGUGAUGGCUCAGGUAUUGUACAUUCACACAGUGGUUUUUCAGUAGACAACAUACUAUUGCUUUUAUGCUCCAAGUACAAAUACCAUACAAGGAUUUUGACAGAAUAUUGAGAUACGAGUUCUAGCAAUAAUUUUCAUGAAACAGAAGAAAAAGUUCAGCAUACAUUAUCAUGAUGUGGUCCUAAAAGACACUGAGGAAAUGCAUUAGACACACAUCAGCUAUUUUAAUUACCAGUUUUAAAGCUUCACUAGUUCCUCUAUAUUUGUAGUUAAUGAUCUUUUAUAAUGGUUUUGUAUUCUCUCCAAAUAAUUAUUUUUUUUAAUAAGAACUUAUGAAGUAACUAAGAUAUUUUGUUUCCAAUAUACAACUGUUUUAAAAAAUAAUUCUUACCACAGUAUUGUUCAUCUGAAUAGCUGGUAAAUAGGAAGAGCUUUGACCACAAGACCAGUAUUUCUCACUUAGUUAUCUUUAGCUCUUGAAUGCAAAUAAAAUUGGUUUGAUACUGUGAGAGACAAUAACAAAGUCUUUACUGAAAUUCAGAAAGAUGAUUACAUCAACUGCUUUCCCUUGAUCAGAUUUUUAACAGCUUUUUGAGAGAAGCUUCAUGUGUCUCCCUAACCUAGGGAUGCCUCUUAGUUGAUUACAUCAACUGCUUUCUGUUUCCUGAUCAAUAAGAUCAGGAAUCUUGUCAUGAAAGAAAAUAAAAUUUGUACAACAGUACUUUCUCCUUGUAAACCGGUGCUGGCUGUGACUGAUACUAUGUAAUAUCACUUCUUUCAAAGCUAUUAAGAUUUAUUCAGUGUGAGUGAGAUCAAGAGUAAGGUUUUAGUGAAUUCCCAAAGAACUCCCUUGCCAAAAUUAUUUUCUAAUUCCUUUUCAUGUUAUUAUUCUGUAUUUUCUUGAAGUCUGGCAAAAUCUAAACCAAUGUCACUUCCUUUAUCACAUAAGCACAGCCACAAUGCAUAUCAUAACCUGAAAGGUAAAGAUCAUUAAAAUAAAAUAAUGUAAGGGUCUCCCAGGUUCUUAGGCUUACUAGAAGGUAUCCAAUAUCUUUAAUGCUUCGUAUUACUGCUUAGCCAUUCAAAUUUUGAUGCCAAAAGUGACUUAGGUGCUGACAACUUUACUUUGAUCAUUCCCAACGGUAUUAAGCAUAUAAGAUCUUUCCCCCAUCUAAAAUUGCUGAAGUAUCACAGCCCACAUGUUUUUUCCAUCCUGAUAUGCAAUGAAAUUUCUACUCCGUGGGAUAUACUCUCUGAUAAUUAAUAUGUUUUUGUUUCACUGGAUAGCAAGGCAACAUUGCUACUUCAAUUUCUGCCUGUUAAUGCAGAGGAGACUCGCCCAAGAAAUAACAGACUAUGGUAGUGCGCAGCUGCACAAAAGGUGAAAGGCUUUGUGAAUCUGAGGUUAGAAAGUUUUCUUUCUGUAUUCCCCCAAGCCUUCACCCCUCCCCUGAGUUAUUCCCGUUGGAUUUGACCCGUAAUGUAUUCAGGCUGGACACUGUCCCUAUUGGCUUCACCUUUUCACCUCCACUCCCUAGAAAAACUGUGACCAGACACCUGCCCGGCAUCACUUGUCCCUGCGGGGUUCGUGCAAUGCAACUUUCUUUGAACUGCAUACAGGUGUCCUCUUUUUGUCUCUUUGUCUCGGAUCCUUUAGUGCUCUCGGGGCAGCCGCGUGCGCUGCUCACCACCAGCCACCCACGGGCGGCUGCGCCUGGGGAACGGGGCCUGCGUGGAAAGCGAGCAACAACAGACUUCAGUGACUGGCCUGAUAAGAGUCAGAUUCCUCUGACUUCCCAGUUACCCAUGUGGAUGUUACAAUACAAAAAUCACAUUUGGAGUUGAUUAUAGUCUACCAUGUGAGCCUAUGAACAAACUUGCAAGAGCAAACAUUACUAUGAAUCCUAUGGUAAAGGCAGCCAGGAGACAUCUGUCCCUUCUUCCACAAAUCUUGUUCUACACUAGGAAGAAAAAAAAAAACCAGAAAUUAUCAGAAUUAAAUUAGGAGGCAAAGCGAAUGUUAGGCUUUCUUUAGGAUAGCUUCACAACAUUGGUAGAAAUGCAAGUCUAUAUCAAUUUUCCAUGGUAUUUUUUUUCUUCCGUCAUCAUUUGUCUCCUAUAUGAAUUUCUGACAGUAGGUUUUCAGUAACACUUACUCACAUAAUUACAAUAAGGACAAAAUAGCCAUAAAAAUUAAAAGUAAUUCUGUGCUAUUUUAGUUGCAAACACUAAAUUUCAUCCCUGUAUAAUCAGUAGUUUUAUGAAUAACAUUUCAGGCAAGACUGUCAUUCUGAAUAAAAAAAUAUUUUGAGGGCUUAAAGUAGAAUGAAACAGGAUUAAAGCUGGAUGUAUUUGUGUUUGUUAAGAGCACUGAUCAGAGUCUCCAUGAAGUCCCAUGAACUACAUUAUCUUCUUUUCUAUUUCUAUGAUGUGUGUGAUUUUAAUUUUUCUAAUUCAAAGAAUAUACUAACAAAACCCCCUGUGCCUAAGCUUGAUGUUUCGAACUUUCCUGGUCUGCUUCAAAAGUGAAAUCACUUGACAAAAGUGAAAUCACAUUUGACAAAAAUGUCAAAUACAAAAUUCAAUCAAAUACACUGGCAUCCAAGAAAUCCACUUUGUGUCUACAAAUUUUAGGCUCUUGGCUACUGUGACAGUAGUGAAAACUGUAACAUUUAGAACACUUUUUCUCCACUAUGGUCAGAAUAAGUUAUAAAACAAUUUAUCCAAUGAGUGCUUCUAAUCUUCAUAGUUUUUGCUAGAUGCAAAUAAUAUAAAUGUGACCUAAGAUUGGUUUAGUCUUCUUUGGUUAUCACUAUACUGUAUCACUGCAGUCUGAAAGAUACAGCUUUAAAACCAGAGGACUAACAGCAAAGUGAGUUUUAUUUGAAAAGGUCCUUAAAACUAACUGUGACUGCCUAGGCUCAUUAAAUCUAUUCUUUUACUGUCUUUCUCUUAGAUGAAAGCUUUUUAGACCCAUUUAUCUGGAAAAUUUUAAUGUAAUUGAAAUAACCACCAGAACUACCAGGAAUGAAUCCUUUAUGUUAUUGUCUUCAUUUUGAUUUCUUUAGCUUAAAUGGAACAGAUUGUCAAAGUCAAGGGGCACAUGUGCUAACUUUUUUAUUUAAAUUAAUUAUUCUUAUGAUGAAUAGAGCUGUCUGCAAGGCCCAUUUUUUGUGCAUUGAGAAAUGCAAACAGCAACAACGACAACUCUUCAGUAAAAACUAUAACUCAAAUAGCAAGAUGAAGCAUUUUGCUGGUGUCCACACUGUCAUUGUUUCCAAAAUGGUACUUCUUCUGUUUAGAAUCUUCUGCUCACUUUCAGUUUUUUGCUAUUAUCAUGUAAAAACCCCCAAAACACAGGAUGCAGAAAUCACAGUGAAUUAACUAACAGUCUAGUUCUGCUUCUGAGAAAUGUCUUUCAGUUUCUUCCAGAGUUUCAUUGUGUGAGAACCAUUUUCUAUUUUGAUACCAGAAGUACCAGCUGUAUUUUCAGUCAUUCACAGUUCUUGGUUUCCUCUCUGAGCUGAAAAAUUCAUUUCCCAUAUAUACAUAUAUUAGUGUAGAUAGAUAGGUAUAGAUACAUAACAAUGUAUGUGGAAUUCUCAACGCCUUUCUUUCCUGAUUUUUGAUAUUCUACCUGUUUGUCAUCCACAAAAAGGAAUGAAGGAGGGAGGCAGGCAUAAUGAGAAGCAUAGAGAUUACAGACUUCAUUCUAGGAGACUAUGGCUUCCAGACUGGUGUUCUGUUAUCUUUGACAUACAGUGCCAUAACUCUUCCCAAUUCUAUGAUUUUGUUAUCAAGACACAGCUGGUCAGCAGUGCCUACUUUGGAAUUGUGAGGUAGGAAUGGAGCCUGAGGGAGCCUACAGUAUAAGCAAGUGGUACACUUUUCUCUAGCUGAGUACAGUUACCUUGAAACCUGCAGCAUCUUUGAUGCUCAGUUCCCUUCCUUGGAGUGGGUCUAUAGGACUCAGCACAUAGACUUACAAGUCACCUGAGAAGAUACCUGGCAGCAGCAUUCUCUUCUUUGUGAGCAGAUCCUGCCUCACGAGGUGAAACAGAUGUCUUCAAAUGCCUUUCAAGGAGAGCAGUGUGGUUCCCUCCAGCUUUAAUUGUCAGAAUGUUAUGUGAUAUAACUUCACCUGCACAAACAGAGGAGCGUGGAGAAACAAAGCAGGUGUGGAAGACCAAGAACACACUGCACUGCCAUAUCUAGGCCCAUCACAGGACUCAUUAACACAUCAUCUUCCUGAGUCCAGAAGAGUUCAGGGGAACAAAUACAAAUGGGAACCCAAGAACACAGAAAGGCCUCCCUGUUUUGGUCUUUCCCAGAGCUGUUUCAGGAGAGGCCCAGGUGCUUUGUCCAGGCAUUAAAUUCUUUAUUGUUCAGACAUGAAACCCUUCAAGAAAAAUCAAUUCCAGAGCACCUUUCAGACUGCAUGGUCACUGCCAAAGGGAAACAGGACAUAUUACAGAAUGCACAACAGCAUUUUGGGAAAAGUCUACCUAUGGGAUAUAUAGUGCAGGAACCACAGGAAAGGAAAGGGAAUGGAUUUUAAUGAUUUGAGAGAAACAAGAGUGGGAAAAUAGAGGAAUAAGUUUACGGAAAAGGAUCAAUUAAGUGUAAACCCUUUGCUGGGAAAAGUGAACUAGGAAACCUACUGUAUCACAAACAUUUACAUGCUAUUAAGUCAAAGGUUGAAAAAAACCUUCAAAAUAAGUGAAAAGAAUUUACAAUAUGCAACAAGUCUAAUAAGUUAUAGAGGAUAAGUUAAAUGUAUGUUUUCCUCUAAAAUGGGAGAGAGAAGACUGUGUUGGUCUUGUGAGUUACUCUUAGACAGCAAAUACUGUUCUGUAAUCCACUUCUUCUAUUCCCCACCUUGCGUUAAUAGGUGUCUUUUCUUUGCAGAGUUAACUAGGAUGGUUAACCGGUUGCCCCUCUCAGCCAGUUUGAUAAACUCCAUUUUAUGGAUUGAACUCCAUAUUUUGCAAAACCAAAGCAACAAUUUCUAGUGCCUUCACUGAAUUCCCUCUGUGUUCCCAGAAGAGGCAGAAGUUCUGUACAACCUACAUGCAAGAGAUCAGAAAAGCUGACUCUGCAGCGUAAGAAACCAAGAAAUAUAUCUUAAAGACUGAGCAUAGCAAGGGCAAAUUACAAUCUAAUAGAUUGCUGUUGAGCUCAUCUAACAGAUUGCUGUUUCAUAAAGGGUGUUAUUGGUUUAAUCCAUGUAGUGUAAUUUUAUCCCUGAUGUAAUACAUAUGCAGCAGCAAUAAAACUCACUAAAUGUCCUCACUCAAAUCAUGGUAUGCAAAUUUAAAACAGAAAUGCAAGUAAGGGUGAAAGGCAUUUCUAAUAAUUCAUAGCUUGGCUUUGUUUAAUUUUGUUCUAAUACUUAAAGAGACUGGCCCUGCCAGAUUCAGCAGAGUUUUUAGGUAUAAGAAAGACUGAUACUUUUUUUUUUAAUUUUAAGAUGCUACUCUAUUUUCUUUCAUGAAGAAAAAUGUCUCACUGUCCCAUUAUGGGUUGCAGACCAAGCUCUGAAGUGCAUUUCAGGAGUUUUUAUAAUUUUGCUCAAUUUGUUCAAUAUUAAAUCCAUAAAGAUAAAUUCAAAAUCAAGAACAAAAUGCUCAUAGCACUUAUUGUUACAGUCUGCUGCUAUAUAAUUUUAUACAGCAUAAAACUGUUCAUAUUAGGAAUGUUUAUUGUGGAUUUUGCAAGCACUGUAGGCCACCCUUUCCCUCCCCCUCCCCGUCUCCUUCUCUCACCUCACAAAAAAGACAUUUAAAGACUGAGUUUUAUGGUUAUAUAACUACUACCUAAGAAGGUAAAUUUUAUAUAUUUUAUAUUCUUGGGCAUUUUCCAUAUCUAGUGCUUCUUCCCUUGUUAUUGCUAUUAUAGGGACCUCAAUAUAAUGUCGUGAAGACAUUACUUUUGCACUUCAACACACACAUCUGGUAAAUUUCUAAGUAUGUGCACUUAUUAAAUCAUACUGAUUUGGGGAGUAUCACAAGUAUCACUUUCCUCAUACAACUGUCCUUCUGUCAUUUCUUACACUCAUGACCACAAUGGCUUAGCUGCAGAUGACUUAAAUCAUCUGGUUAAAGAAUUUCAAGUUGGUAGAAGGUCCUCUGAAAGGGCCAGACUGCCAAAUAGGAAACAUUAUACUGAGGGACCCAGAAGGAAUUUAAGCUACACAUAAUUUUUUAAACAGACUUAAGCUUUGAGAUCCUUGAGGUUUCAACUCAGAAACCUUCAUUUACAUAAUGAAGACAUUAAAAAUAAGCAACUUCUUUUAUUUAUCUAAAUUUCUCAUCUUAUGUCUUAAGCUUAUUUUAUUGACAACAGUGUACACUAAACCCACAUUUACUGGAAGUUCACAUUUUUCUCAGGAGAUUCACUUUAUGCCUUCUAGAGUCUAUACAUUUCUGUGUCUUGAAUGCUAUGAAUAUGUUUAAGAUAAAAAUAAAAAAGUUUCAUUUCAGAACUAAAGACUGAGUUUAAUUCCACUGUUAUCUGAAUUGUCAAGCUUACCUACAGAAUAUGAUAGAUAACUUUCAAGCCUUCAAUUUUUCAUAAGCUUUUAGCUGAUAAAUUCAUCUGGAAGCUAUUUAGAAUAUAUAAAAACACAAAGCACACUUUAUAAGUAACUUAUACAACCAAAGUGCAACUUAAAAAGAGAAAGCAAGCUAUUAUAUAGGAAUAUUGCAGUUAAUUGAGAAAGACAACAAUGUACAUUUGGAAUCCAGAUCAGCUUUUCAAUGUACAUAUGGCAUCCAGGUCUUAGAAAGGAAAAAAAUCACCUAAUAGUUGUAAAUAUUUGUUACAGUCUUUGUUACAUAUAGUAAUAAAGAUAGAUAUGUAUUUUUGUUGUUGUUCUACAAAAAAUUGAGUAUAUAUUUCUGUGCAUACAGCUUGAAAUUCUAAUGAACCAACCAAUAUAAUUAAAAUGAAAAAAUGCUGUCUUUUAAUCUUGAAAUCAAAUCAAUAUAUCAAUAUAUUAAUAACAAAUUGGAAUGAGUCAACUAAUUCAAAUCCUGGAAAAUUACAGGUAGUUAUGUUAUCUGAGUUAGUAUGACCCUUCUGAAACAGAAGGACAGAGCUUGACAUUAACAUGAGGCUACAAAUGCAUGAUUUUAGGCUGCUGUUUCCCAAGCCACAGGUACAACUAACUCUUGUGCUGCCUAAAUUUUCCUUUUUGACAUGGAAUGACUUGCAAUCACUGUUACUUGAUGUGGUAAAGUAAUUUCACAUUGAGCAAGCACAGAUUAUGGCUGUGUUAGUCUUUGUCAGAGUUAGUAUGGUGUUCAAAGAAGAACAAAAAAAAAAUAGCAUGAUUCUGAAACGCUCUACCCCAAAGCAGCAAGGGAGGACCAACUGCUCCCUGCUGCUGCAAUUAGGAGGGAUUUCAACCUGUUCUUUUGCAUGCCACGUAGCACCACUUUUAGUUAGAGUCUUCAGCUGUGGUUAUCCUUUGGCUUUGGACUUUGGUACAAGGAGAAUUUCUCACAUUUUUCUCCUUUUUAGACUGUAAGGAGAGUAAAGGCUUCCAUUAUGAUGUAGAUGCUGAAGGAAGACAAGCAUUUUUGGUAAUUAUGAAUACCUAAUUUAACAGGUUUCCAUUUUCUACCCUUGUAUACUUCCAGAGAAUUCUUCAAAACAAAAUAUAUGCUCAGUUCGUUGCUCUGGAUCUUAAAUCAUAUAUUGCACAACUAAAUGAUCUCUUAUUUCUACUGUUUAUUCUGAUUAUCUCUUGUUUCUAUCAGUAAAAAUUACUUCAAUGAUACUAUGAGCAACACCUGGAAAGGAGAUGUCACCACAGGCAAAGCAUUAAAGUCAUUAUCCCAUUCCUCUUUGUAAUCCUGAACCUGCCUAAUUUUGUUUCUUUGUUUUUAUUUUUUCACUGAAGAAACAACUAAUAUUUUCUCCACAGCCACAAUUAACUUUCUUUACAGUUUCUUUACAUUUCCAUUACCCAAACAAAUUGAAAAGCAAUCCUAACCUUUCUGGUUUAUUUUGAGGAGGCAGAAGUAAUUUUCUUUAUUUGAUCAAAUAAAACUAAUACUUGGGAAUAUAUGUCUUACUUGUGAAUUUCUAUUCCUUAGUUAUCUGUUAAGUAAUAAAUUAAGAAACAGUUGGCUGAUUUAAUUUUACCUAGAGAAAGCCCUGCUGCUGUAUGUUGGCAUUGUUAUUGUAACAAAACUUGCAAAGUUAUGUUAUUCAAAUAUCAAAUAUUCAAUUAUUCAUUUUUAUGGAAUAGUUAGAGUUUAUUUUGCAAAACUGAAUAUGUGAAAAUGAAAAUGGGAUAUUUUUAGAAGAUUUUUAUUUAACUAGUUGCUAUAAUUCUUCUAUAGAAUUUUUUUACAAAUAACAGUUUACUUUCAUAGUUUUAGUCAAUAUUUCUGAGUGCAAAAUGUGCAUUUUACCUCUGUCAAGACUUCAAGACUAGAGCAUAAACUGUAGGAAUUUUUCUUCAUUCUGAUAAGUCAGCAUAAAAUAUAUAUUUUUAUUUAGGAAGAAAGACAGAAUUACUGUGCUGAACCUUCUGCUACUGAUUUGAUUAACAUUUAGGCUUUUUUUCAAAGUAAGGUCAUCUAUGCUUCAUUUUUGCCUUCUAUGUUUAGGAAGUAAAAUCAAGCAACAUCAAAUACUAUACUACUUUCAAAUAUGCUGAAGAAUUCUCAAUUAGCCCAAUUUGUUAAAUCAGUUUUAAAUUUAGAUUUAAAGAUCAAUCUUAUGAAGCAGGCAAAUUUUCAGGCAUCUGUGCAAGUGAUGAUAUGAACCCUAUUGGAAAUUAUACUUCUACUGCUACAGCUCAGCACAUUUUUAAAGUUUUCUCAAGUUAAAUAAGAACAACUUUCAUAAAUACAUAAUAUCACUCUCAGAUAAGGUGUGUUUUUAAUAUCAGAUGGAACUUCCAAAUGCAAACUCUUGCAUCAUAUGAAACCUCUCCUCCCUCACCCUGGUGUUUCCACAUCAUUCAGGUAAACACUGGUGGAGGAAGUGAAAGAAAGAGCAAGAUUUUCAUUUCUCCUAUGAUCAUGUGGACCUUCUUUUGCAGUCUGAUCUGAAACUGUUGACUUCUCCCUUUUGUUAUGUUUUUUCUUCUCUUGGCAGGAAAUCAAACAACAAAGAAGCGAAAUGAGGUGAAGUCUGUCUGUGGGAAAGCACAUAUGGAGAUUUUGACUCAGCUGGGGUAAACCAGCCCUUUUUCCAGGAAAUCUCACAGAGCUUUGGUAAUAUACCCAGGCUGAGUACCCUGACUCCUCUGUUUUGAAUAAAAAUGUAUAGAGAAGUAGGCAUUUAGCUAACAAAGGGGCACACCUGCCAAAGUUAAAACAACUGCCUUAGUAAUGAUUAACGGUGCUGUAGACAAUAUACCCCUAAUGAAGUAUCGACUAACAGACAGUAUAAUAAAAGACUUCCUUUUUCACCUCAGUCUGCACAUAAUGGGAUUCUAUACCCUUGAUGAUGAAAGGAAGAUAAAGCUUAAAAGGAAAAAAUAAUAUCUGUUCUCAGAUAACUAAUUAUCUGAGAACAUGUCAACAUAUAAGACAAAAUAAAGAAUUUUCACUGAUUUAUAAGUAACUAAAAAAUUCUGUGAGGAAUAUAUAUGUAUUUCACUAGGUUUUGUGUAUAAAUAUUUAAUAUGUACAUAUUUAUCUUCAAAAUAUUAGUGUUAUAUAUGUGUUUCUAUUUAUCUGUGUAUGUGUAUGUUCUAAACCUAUGAAACACAGUAUGUGCAACAGCACAUUCACAGUCAGUAGAGCAAGAAACUGAUUCCAUGUCAGUUGGAAAUAGCAAAAUGUAGAACCUCUGGCGUAAAAAUAGAAAAAUAUUGAAAAAAAUGCUCUGUGUUGUAGAAAACUUGAUCUGAAACAGACUAGCAUCAGCAGGAAGUCAACAGUUCUCUAGUAUGUCACAAUCCUGAGGUUAUAGAACAUUAAAAAUCUUUGCUGUCCUGCAUGUACUGUCAGGAAAUGCCAUGAGUCCCUGUAGAUGGGCAGGAGAAAAAGCAGACCCCAGAUACGUAGUUUGAUCUGUCAGAUAAAACAAAUUAAGAAAGAGUCAGCCAUCAAAGCACACAGACCCCACUUAGUCCCAUCAUUAUUUGCCAUUAAUCAUAGAGAAAUAAUCAGUCUGCACUUACAGAGAACGGUCACCUUACAGUUCCCAGAAUUCACCUUUUUUCCUUGGGAUAGCAAUGCUCCAGAGACCUGUCAAGUUAGAUUUUAUUCUAGUCCAGCUAAACUCUUUUGGGAUCUAUUCAUUCCCUCCAUAAUCAAAGCUAAGCUCUGAGGCAAGAGGGAGGAUUGUAGAAUAUCAUCACUGCAGUCUAGAAAGCCAUUCCUUCUUAUCACAUUCCAUCUUUUAAAUUGUUUUAUUUCUAGGUUUUGAGGGCCUUUAAGUUUGGAGAAAUGGAACAGUCUUACUUUAAAACUUAACAUUUUUGGUUCAGGUCCCUGUACAAGUAUUUAUUACAGUCCUAAAUUCAGGUAUGUACAACCAAAAGCUGAGCUGACAAAGAAUGACUAUAAUAUCUGGUCACUGAAAACAGAAGGAUUUUUGGAGUGAUAAGUAAAUGCUACUGUGUUUAAGUUUUCAUUUGUACUAUCUGUUUUCUGGAAAUAUUUGCUGCUUAUCCAUGUGUGAAUAAAAUGCAAGAGUUUGUGAAGAAGUAAGAGUUAUACAUAAUUCGGUAAAGGUUAUGUAAUUAAAAAAAAAUCUUUCUUUUGGCACAAGGUGAGGCCAAGGUGAUAACGACUUCUUUCUGGUUUGCUGCAGAUGGGUGAAAAGGCUUUGGAGGCUUCAGAGAUAGUGUUUAGAAAGGUUUUUAGCCUUGUGAAAGUGAAUGUAUUUCCUUUCUCAUGUGCAGAGUUUGCAAAGCUGUCAUUCAUCUGAAGAAAUGUUCUUUCCCCUUCCAUCUGUUUUGGCUUAUGCAUACAUAAAAUUCACACAAAGUCUGAAGGGAAGUGAAGAAUUAAUUCUGUUGUUAUUGUGUGGCAUGACCCUCUUGGGGUCUGUGUCAAGUUUGACCCCAAGAAUGUAAAAGUCCUUGUUUCCCAGUCCGUGCAGCCAAAGGAGUUUGGAAUGCGCAGGAUCGGCUUCUCAAAGUUGUUUAUUUUUCCUUAGCUAUACCAUUCUUUCUCUGACCUGCUGAGCUCCGUCUAACAAGUCAUCCAUGGCAUUCUGUCUGCCCUCUAGGGUGGUGUGAGGCCCUGGGGUCCUGCGACCACUCUGGCUUGCCACAGGGUCAGGUCCUCAGGUGCCGGAUAGCUGUAGAAAUAAGAGGCUUCCACCAAGGCGGGUGACUCUCAAGAGGCUUUAUUCCUGAGGGCUUCAAGCAGGGAAGGUGAGGUGGGCAGCAAAGGGAAGCAGCCGCUCAGAAGGACAGCCAGCUCUGAGAGCCCCGAACCAGGGGCGGGGCAGGGGUUAUAACAGUAACCAGGAAGGAGGGUCAGGGUACAGAACUUCCAAUCAGGUGAGGGCUUGAGGGAGGAGUCAGUGAAGAGUGACACGGCAACGGCCAACUGGGAUAGAGGGAAGGAGUGGUUUUGGGGGGAGAACCAAUGGGGAUACAAAGAGCUUAGAACUUUCUAGAACUGGGGAAGGAGUACAUAAUGAUUGACGGGAACAGGGGGAAGGGAUAACAAAUAACUGACAACUGGGGAAAGGUGGGAAACUACACAUCUGUCGCCUCCCAGGGCAGAGCAGGGAGGCCAUCAACCACACCCCCUCCCACAGUGGUGUUUACAUUUUAUAUUAAAAACUACAUGUUCUAUAUUGCCAAUACCUAUCACCUAUGUUAGACAGUCUCUACCUUAAACCAACAGAAAAGUGUCACCAUCACACCAAGACAUGGGGAACAAGAAGAAGUAGAAGAAGGACAGGACAUGCCCAAAUUUCUCCAUCUUGUCCCCUUGAUCCCCAUUCUAAAAAGCCCCAAACUUCUACUUUUUCACCUUGUGUUAAGUCAACUAUCACACUACUCAAACCCUUGUGACUUGUAAUUCCUCAUACAAAGUUGGCAGCUUUUUCCAUGGGCUAAAAUUGAAGCCACAGGUGUUUUUGACUUCUUGCCAAGGUCACCAAACCCCCUGCCAGGGUCUCGAGACAGCCAGGGCAGCCAGAGGGAUGUCCUGGGUUCCCACAUGACCCCUGCUGUGUUUCUUUUACCAUCCUUGGCCUCCUAGAAACUCAGUUUCUUCUGACACUAUAAACAAACAUGUUCAGUCUUGGACAGCAGCACACAUUUGUCACUGAUGCCAAAUAGCCACUUUUCCUUUGGAUUGCCUAGCAGUGAGAUAUAGGACCUCUUUUCUUCUCAAAUAGCUUGUUCCCUUUUAUUGUACUUCAUCUUGUUUCUUGGAUCCCAUUUUUCAUUAGAAUUCCUCAGCAGAAGUUAAAUGAGCUCAAGACAAAUCUGUAAAAAUCAGCUAAAGCGAAGAUGUAGGAGCAAACAUCAAGAUUACCUGAUGUUCCUACAGAACAACUUCAUCUUAGUACUCAGCUGAGAAAGCAAUAUACUUGGGUGCAAAGCUAAACUAGUUAUAAACAAGCAAAAGAGAAUUACAAUUUCUUUAUAUUUCAGACACAACAAGUAUUUAAAAAUAACAUAAUCUGGUAGAAAUUACUUUUCAAGACUUACUUACGUUCCUAUUACUUCUUUAUUGCUGUAGCUGUGGAGUAAAACUGGAUUGAAGAAUGAUUUAAAUUUUUUAUGUACUCUUAAGAAAAAAAUCCUGAAUACUCUCAUUCACACCUCUAACCACAGCUCCUAAUAAUAUUUUUAUUUAAAGAAAAAACAGACAUACAAAAAUUAGAAUACGUUAACACAGAAAGAAAAAUUAAGCUAAGGAGAUAGAAUUUUAAGGGAAAUAAUCACAAGAAUUUUACACAAACAAA